GUGCAGGAGGCGAUCAUGACCAUGACUGGUGGCGAGAAGGCAAAUCAUCCUGCGACACCGAUUCUGACUCUCAAAGUGUCCGAAGGUGUCGGAGGCAGCACCGGGAACCUGGACGCACUUGAGGUGUUGGGACGGAUGAGGCGUGGUGUCGGCCGAUGGCUUGAUGGCUUCAACAUGACCUGUGUGCCCAAUUCUCCAGUUGUUUCCUCGCCCACUACCUGUCGUAAUGGCUUUGCCAGGCGACCAAGUGUGUCAUCGUAGACUACCAUGAACCUCCUUCAGGGCACAUGCCAGGAAGUACCUUCUAUCAUCUGAAAUAAAGGUGAUCGGUCUUCACUGGAACACGCUGGGGAGAUUAUUCCAGAAGUUGGUUACACUGGGAGGAGUUGUCAAUCGCCGACGGUCCCAGGGGGAGCAGAGGAAGGGUGCAAGUGUGAAAACCAAAGAACUACAGACUCUUCACAACCUGCUCAAACUCUUGGUACAGGACCUCACCACACGGGUCAAGAAGGUUUCCAUCUCAUUUCUACUCUGAAGCUCACCUUCUCCUGCUCAAACUGCUGACAAAUGUUUCUGCUGCUCUAAAGUCUGGUCUCCAGAACUUCCUAAAAACUCUCAGAGUCUCUUCUGCUGCAGGUUGCUUUGUAGAACUGUUCCAGAAAACCUCACUAAACCACAUGGAAAGGCCUCAAGAUAGUCGUCCAAAUGAAACCUUACAAAAACCAAACUAGCACAACCCAAACACUAAAGUCUCCUGCAGCCUACCAGAGAACCUCUGAGAACAGAGAAUCCGUACAGGAACUCUCACCUUCUGGACAACCAACGUUGGUUCUCAAACAAGAAUACAGAAUGUGUCUGACCAAAAACCUCUGAAGACUCACUACAGCCAAGAUAAAGACACAACUCAGCUGCACCAAAUCCACUAAUCACUGCACACAUUAGCACCAUGUGCUAACUGUGGCUAAAGAACCACAUUUACCAAGACAACUAUCAAGUACAAAGCCCUAAAACACACCAAGAAACACAUUAAAGAUGAUUUUACUGCUGGAAGCUGCAAGCCAACACCUAAAGAACAAGCUAAAGCAAUGGAGCCAAACCCAGUUCAGUGGUGAACAGAAGCAGAGGAAAUGUUUGUCUGCAGCUAAAUAAAGCAGGAAGACACUGAGCUGCUCAGGUGUUCCUAAUAACACCAAUCAGCCACCUGGACAGCCAAUAGGAACACAGCCACCUGGACAGCCAAUAGAAACACAGCUUCCUGGAAGUCCAGAGGGCUGGCUUAGUGAAGGAAAUUUAGUUUAAAGUUGAAGCAGAAAAUUAACAAAGAAAGUUGAAAACCACCUUCUGAUACCUGAAAUCUCUGAGUUUUCACACAAACAGCACCUGAACAUGUCAAACUGGUUCCAUAGUAGAACCAUCAUUGUAAAAACGUCAUAGUAUGGUGUGUUGCUCAAAAAACAUUAGGACCCGGCUGUCAGGGGACAAACAUGUAAGAAACAUGAGAACAGAGAGAACCCAACCAGUAGGUCACAGUUUAUCAUCCCCCAGUCAUCUCCUGAAGUCCAUAUGGUGAGAGACAUCAGUAUCUGGUUGUUAAUUUACCAGAGGAUGCUUAUAAUCAUGCUGAUGUGGUCUGUACUCUACAGUAUUUUAGUGACUCAAUAAAUGCCUAAGUUGUUUUUUUUUUUUAAAUGCUUUUUAGUUUUUAAUAAACAUUUAACAGCCUAUAUGUAAUCAAUAAAUGGCCUUUGCCUAUCUUAAGAAAAACUCACUCAGAACUCUGAUAUGUUAACAAUACUAAAUAAAUCAAUAAAUACACGCAUACACACAAAAAUAAGUUAAUACAUUAACUGUGUUAAGAUAAGAUUUAGAUUUUAAAAAAAGUUGUUUAUGAUUUUGCAGAAUACAGUCUUGCUCACUGGUUGGUCAUUACAUUUUAUUAGUUUGAUUUCACUGUUUAAAAUGAUGCCACCUCUUUUCAGACAGAACCUGUGAUAAUAAAACAAUACAAAAUUUUUAGCUCCGUGUUAAUAAAGCACUUAAAGCUUUAAGUAUGGCUAAAUGCUUUUUUCAAAAUUAAAUAUAUCACUCCUUAGGUGGUAGUGGCCCCAAGUUCAGUAAAGUUGGAAAGAUAUUCACAGAUUCGGACUUCCAGCAUCAAUAACUCGUUAGAUAUAGGUUGUCAAAACAUAAACGGUGCCUCUUUCCCAUUGUUGCAAGGCAGACAAUGUGCUACAAGCCCAGUUUUAUCAAAAGUAGCUGUCUUUCAAGCUACAGGAAUAACACUAGUGUCUAUGGAGUGAACAGGGUCCGUCUGCAAUUAGCAAAACCGCUGCAACAGUAAAGAGAGACAAAUAUUCAAUAACUUCACUCUUAUACAUUGUAGUGUCACUAAAAUCACUGCAGCCUUCAACUGGCUCCUGUUGACAAAGUGUUUUAACAGAAAUGUAAAUGCUGUAAUUUGAUUCUUUUAAUGAACCAUGUAACUUGAAUGGAUGUGAUGCUGGUGUGACCACAGUGCACACGUCUGAUGUUGCUCACAGUGGUCCAAGGGACGCUCAGGGAGUUUGUGUGUUUGCUCAUGAAAAAUUAGAGGGAACAUUGCUCAUAAGUUCUUAAUGUUACAUAAGAAACUGAAAAUAUUUAAAUAAACUAGCUCUAAGCGACCACACACAAAGCUUGGAUGCAAUAAUCUGGAACAACUAAUAAAAAGCAACACAACAAAGUACAUAUACUGCACAGUUGUGAGCAUGAUGCACUUUUUGAUAUCAGCUCUGCUUUUGAGUAAAUGUGCUUUGAUAUAUUACUUUUCAUUAAUUGUUCCAGAUUAUUGCUAAUUUGUGUAAAUAUUUCUGAUUUAUUUUGUUUCAUAAACAGUUUACAGGAUACAUACUGUGAUUUUUAAGCAUUGCACCUUAGUUUAUAUGUCUCAUAUGUUGUCAGUGAGACAUAAUAAACCGAAAAUAUUUAAUUAAACUAGCUUUAAACUACCACACAUGAAAUUUAAU